rnacentral:tmRNA from 1 species
GGGGAUGCGUGGCUUCGACAGGGAAGCAUCCUAACGGGACCGCGAGCCGAGAUCGUCACACUUCUCGUUAAACAGGUGGCAAACAAGUAACUGGCGACAGACAACUCGCCCUAGCGGCUUAACGCCGCUACGUCUGCUGGAGGCCCCGCCCGAGGCUGAAGGACAGGCGCCGCUAAAUCGGGCUAGGACGUUCCGACGCCGAUACCGGACGCCCGAAACGCCAUCGGCUGGCCUGACCACGCGAUGCCGGAUGAGCAACGGCCAGGCAAGACACAAACACCGGCUACGCUCGUAGACGUUUCGCGCGGACCUCUCUGGACGGGGAGUUCGACCCUCCCCCAUCUCCACCA